UACGUAGGCGGGAAAUUAAGUCAGUAGUGAAAUCCCACAGCUUAACUGUGGAACUGUUAUUGAUACUGAUUUUCUUGAAUAUAGUUGAGGUAGGCGGAAUGUGUAAUGUAGCGGUGAAAUGCCUAGAUAUUACACAGAACACCGAUUGCGAAGGCAGCUUACUAAACUAUGAUUGACGCUGAGGUACGAAAGCGUGGGGAGCGAACAGGAUUAGAUACCCUGGUAGUCC
rnacentral:rRNA from 1 species